rnacentral:pre_miRNA from 1 species
AAUAAAGUUAUUUUUCAGUUUUUAGAUAUAAUGUUUUGAUUUUUCGUCUUAUUUGAAAUUUUUUUUGGGAUUAAUAAUUUUAUUGUUACUAGAUGAUAAAAUCUGAAUAGUAAUUUAUACGCGACUAAUGUUUUUAAGUUUUUAUACAAAUUUUUUAAUUAAUAAGACGAAUGAUCAAAACAUUGGACAUAGAAAUCGAAAAAUGAUAUUAUU